GGCGUUGCCCGAGCGGCCAAUGGGAGCGGACUGUAAAUCCGUCGCGAAAGCUACAGAGGUUCGAAUCCUCUACCCGCCA
rnacentral:tRNA from 1 species